CAUAAUGAAAUGAUAUAGCAGAUGUUGGUUCACUCACCAUUCUGUAGAGAAGGAAGAUUGCACUGGACUGCUGCAUUCUGCUCCAGAGAUAUCUGAGCAACACUUGAUUUAGAAGGCAAUAGAUAAAGAAUGGAAUUACCUUGGCUCUAUUCAAUACUUCCUUAGGGACAAUGGAGCAAACAUGGGUAGUCAUACCAUUCGAUCAUAGAGGUCGAACAUGUGGCCUCACAUUCUCAUAUGCGUUGGC
rnacentral:lncRNA from 1 species